rnacentral:rRNA from 1 species
UAGGGGGCGAGCGUUAUCCGGAUUUACUGGGUGUAAAGGGAGCGUAGACGGAACAGCAAGUCUGAAGUGAAAGCCCGCGGCUCAACUGCGGAACGGCUUUGGAAACUGCGGUUCUGGAGUACUGGAGAGGUAAGCGGAAUUCCUGGUGUAGCGGUGAAAUGCGUAGAUAUCAGGAGGAACACCGGCGGCGAAGGCGGCUUACUGGACAGAAACUGACGUUGAGGCUCGAAAGCGUGGGGAGCAAA